CCCCAGCCUCCUCACUGGAGGGGUGGGAUGUGGACCAGAAAAGGCCUUAUGAAGGAUACACUCACAAGUGGAUGUACAACUCUGUAUCAGAGAACAGCAUGCUGAUGGAGCCUAGUAAGUGGCCUAAACAUCCUAUCACAGAUGAAAAGAUCUUUGAUGGCAAUUGAAGACAUUCAAGUUUCAGUAGAAGGAUCUAAAGUGUCAAGUACUGCAGCACAGCCUGGGACUGCCACAAUCCCCACUGCCAGUUGGAAUAGGAAUUAAAGGCAGAAAUUAAUGGCUCUUGCAAA